rnacentral:rRNA from 1 species
CUGAUGAGCACGCCGCGUGAGUGAUGAAGGUCUUCGGAUCGUAAAGCUCUGUCUUUGGGGAAGAAUGAUUGGAUGAAAACUUGGAGGAAGCCGCAGGUAACUCAGUGACAACAGCCCGGGUUAAUACCUUGCGGGCAACCGUUGUAAUAAAUUGGGGGAAGUCGUGGCUCGCGAUGAUGGUUUGUAAGCGCGCGGUAGACGGCAAUUUAACAUCUGGUGUAAACCUCGGGAUCUGUCCCAGAUAGUGCCUCGAAAAGAGAGUGUAUUUCCCACUGGAGCGGAGAGGGGCAUUCCUCGUGUGGGGAACACCAUGUGGAUAUGUGUACAUUCACGACUGUGGCUGACGCUACUUUCCGAACUGGUGGUGACCCAAACGCAUUAAAUCGCGUGGAACACCCCGCCUUAUACCCUG